GUCUAUGGCCAUACCACCAUGAAAGCACCCAAUCUCAUCUGAUCUCAGAAGCUAAGCACAGUUGGGUCUGGUUAGUAUUUGGAUGGGAGACAAAGUUUCUGAUGAAAAAUCUGAUAAUCUUAUUGA
rnacentral:rRNA from 1 species